rnacentral:rRNA from 1 species
GACGAACGCUGGCGGCGUGCCUAAUACAUGCGAGUAGAACGCUGAAGGAGGAGCUUGCUUCUCUGGAUGAGUUGCGAACGGGUGAGUAACGCGUAGGUAACCUGCCUGGUAGCGGGGGAUAACUAUUGGAAACGAUAGCUAAUACCGCAUAAUAGCAGUUGUUGCAUGACAACUGUUUGAAAGGUGCAAUUGCACCACUACCAGAUGGACCUGCGUUGUAUUAGCUAGUUGGUGGGGUAACGGCUCACCAAGGCGACGAUACAUAGCCGACCUGAGAGGGUGGUCGGCCACACUGGGACUGAGGCACGGCCCAGACUCCUACGGGAGGCAGCAGUAGGGAAUCUUCGGCAAUGGACGGAAGUCUGACCGAGCAACGCCGCGUGAGUGAAGAAGGGUUUCGGAUCGUAAAGCUCUGUUGUAAGAGAAGAACGAGUGUGAGAGUGGAAAGUUCACACUGUGACGGUAUCUUACCAGAAAGGGACGGCUAACUACGUG